UGGGGCCUAAAGACUCACUUAACUGUUCUUUAUGGACCCAUUGUACUAUUCAGAAGAUUGAAUUGGGACUAAGAGAACAUAAACUAUUCUGAUUGAUUAAUUAAAAUAAGUAGUUGAUUAACAAGUAUUUCUCUCAAAUACAUGCAUGUCUUCACGUGGGCUGGUCGUAUCGUACCUACUUAAAUUUAAUAACAUUAUCAUUUAAGCAAA